UUCAUCAGUAGAUAAAGAGGGAGAGAGAGUGAGAGAGCAUUAAAAUUAAUUGAACUCUAUUCAUCAAGAAAAAGUUUCAUAAUUCACAGGAAAAAAUGGCACAAGAAUGUUCAAACUCGUCGUGGCUCCUCACCAGAAAAUGGGGUACAUCUCACAGGCUCAUCUAGGUGAGGUACAUCUCACAGGCUCAUCUAAAUCCUACUCUCAGGCAACUUAUCUAUCUUACAAAAACACAGAGCAUCACAAGGUCACAUCGUGUAACUUUUGAAACUGAAGCGCAUCCCAAGGGCUACCGAGGCAGAGGCCACCUGAAUGAUUUAGCAGUAUAGGCUCCAGGUAACAGCAGCAGGCUGCUAUUCUCUUUGCUUAGCUUCUAACAGAAUACACAGGCAUAAAAAAAUGUAGUGGAGCAAUAUCGUGGUUUUGUCUCCUAAUUAAUAUGAGAACUCAUGACCUCGAAGUGAGAUGUAUUUCUUUACCCAGAUGGCAAUGUCCUCUGCACAGGCUUGUGCCUGAGGAGUCUUGAGAAGCAUAUCUAGGGUUGCAAACUCAUGAACUGCAUCCUUAUACUCCAUUACAGGUGCAUCAACAUUUACCUUCCGAAGCU
rnacentral:lncRNA from 1 species